CUGGAGGACCUGUGGGAGGAGAUAUGGGGAGUCUAGAAGGAACUGUGGGACCAGAUGAUGCAGAAACCUUACUCUGAGAUUCCCUGACUUUGGUGACUCGUAAAUGGAGCAGGACUGAGAAACUGAUAUUCUUAUUUUGGUGUAACACCAUUAAGGGUAAGCAAAGUCUACAAGCAAAAAUACCAUCUUCCUGGAACUGAAGAGAGAAAGACCAUCCAAACGGCCAACACAGCACAGGCAGGAUCUGGAAAUAGGAAGUGCUGACUUUGUUGGUGAAGCAAUUAGCAACUGCUGUUCAUGACCAGAUGGGUGAAGACACCCCGGGGACGAACAGGGAGCCUGGCCCCUUCAGAUGCUGGUGAUGUAAGUGUGGAGGAAGCCCCGCCCGGCCUGCUUCAUGGGCACACUCGGCUUUGUAACCUGACGUCUGGCGCCGCCACUGGCUUACUGACUCUCUGCUCUGUGAGAUUAUAAUCUCCAUGAGUCUUUGGGCUUGGCUCUUUUGUCCACUGGUCUGCAUUUAGUGCCCAGAACAGCUACUGGCAUGGCUGGAUAAACGUUUGUUGCCUGA